GCAUCCCCUUUGCUCUUUUUAUGCUCCUUCAGCUGGUGAGGCCCACCCCCCUAGACCAGGAGCCCGGGCCACUGGGCGGCCACCACCGAGUGGGUGCAUUCUCCACUUGGGUUCUCCACCCCUUGAGGCUUGGGUUUCAGAUACAUCCUUCCAGGCCCUGGAAAGCACCAGACCAGAUGGCUGCAGGUGUCUAAAGUCAUAUCGUCCUUUCAUCCAAUACUUUCUGAAUUCAUGGCACCCUUCUGAAUACUUGAAGUUUUUGGUAGCACAUUUGAAGGUCGACACCUCUUCAGAGGAAAAAAAUGAGAACGUUGAAGAAAGUUUUCAAUACUCAUCACAUUAUUUAUUUACUGACUCUUUCAGCGGCAAGUGUUCUUUGCAUCGACUUGCUAACUGGCUGGGCUACACACUCUAGUAAAUUGGAGCUUGUACCAGACCCAGGGCAGCAUACUGUGACCCAUUCAGCUCAAGAUUUUAUCUAGCAGACAUUGCCAGUAUGUAUUCUCUAUUACAGCAAAAAUACAGUUUACACAUCGAUCAAACUUUGAUGGCACCCCUGGCAGGGUUCAAAGUUCACCAUGGUACCAGUGCACAGAGGGGAAAGAGGUAGAUGCAAGCAGUUGGUGUAAUGGAAGCCUUGAGGAUGUGAGGCCCUGCCUCUGCCUCCCUCAAAUCCUUUCCAAAGGAUCAUCGUGAAAUCCUUGUAGAAUCUGUUCUGCCCUAGUUCCUGAACCAGCUGGGAAAUACAGCCAAGUGAGGUCAGCAUUACCCCUCCUCCACAGCCUUGCUUAUUCGGUGGGAUUUAGGAUGAAUUUUCUCCUCCCUUGUCUCAAUAGAUACAAUUGGUCAGUCUUAUUUGUUCUUAAGGUGCAUUAGGAACAAUCCCAUGGCCCAAAGAAAGGACCCCCAGAUAUGUGAGUUGCUUUUGCAUUCUCUUCUCUUGCACUACCUCCUGCUGCACCCCAUCCCCUUUCCAUGAAGCUACUGGCCUCUUAUGAACCCCAGAGUGGUGUGUAAGGGGCAGUAAGGGGUUUCUGCCUUAAUUUUGUGGGUGUUCUCCCCAGAACUAGAACCUUAACCUUGCGAGUGGGGCAGAGUAACAGGAUGGGGCUGGGUAGGGUUGGUGGGGCCUGUGGAAUUGAGAAAUUAUCUUCAAGUGUUGAUCUAGUUGUGGAGAAGAUGUUAGAACCUAUAUCUCAACUCCAGUGAACUAUUCUCUAGAAUCAUUCCCAGAACACACACACAGACACACAGACACACACACAGACACAUACAUGCACACUGAGUUUCUAAGGGGCAAACUCUUUAAAGAUACAAAGGAUAGGGGCGCCUGGGUGGGUUGAGCAUCUGCCUUUGGCUCAGGUCAUGAUCCCGGGGUCCUGGGAUUAGGUUCUGCAUCGGGCUUCCAUGGGGAGUCUGCUUCUCCCUCUGCUUGUGUCUCUGUCUCUUUCUGUGUCUCUCAUGAAUAAAUAGGUAAAAUCUUAAAAAAAUAUAUAAAGA
rnacentral:lncRNA from 12 species